rnacentral:rRNA from 1 species
CCUACGGGAGGCAGCAGUGAGGAAUAUUGGUCAAUGGACGAGAGUCUGAACCAGCCAAGUAGCGUGAAGGAUGACUGCCCUAUGGGUUGUAAACUUCUUUUAUAUGGGAAUAAAACGUUCCACGUGUGGGAUUUUGUAUGUACCAUAUGAAUAAGGAUCGGCUAACUCCGUGCCAGCAGCCGCGGUAAUACGGAGGAUCCGAGCGUUAUCCGGAUUUAUUGGGUUUAAAGGGAGCGUAGGUGGAUUGUUAAGUCAGUUGUGAAAGUUUGCGGCGCAACCGUAAAAUUGCAGUUGAAACUGGCAGUCUUGAGUACAGUAGAGGUGGGCGGAAUUCGUGGUGUAGCGGUGAAAUGCUUAGAUAUCACGAAGAACUCCGAUUGCGAAGGCAGUUCACUGGACUGCAACUGACACUGAGGCUCGAAAGUGUGGGUAUCAAACAGGAUUAGAUACCCCGGUAGUC